rnacentral:rRNA from 1 species
AGUCAGACGGCAUGGACUUCCGGUCACGGUGGCGAGUGGCGAACGGGUGAGCAAUCAUCGGAACGUGCUAGUAGCGGGGAUAACUACGCGAAAGCGUAGCCUAAUACUUUCGCCCUUCAGGGAAGCGGGGGACCUUCCGGGCCUCGCACUAUUGAAACGGCCGAUAUCGGAUUAGCUAGUUGGUGGAAGGUAACGGCUCACCAAGGCGGCGAUCCGUAGCUGGUUUGAGGACGACCAGCCACGCACAGGACUGAGACACAGCCCAGACUCCUGGGAGGCAGCAGUGGGAAUUUUGGACAAUGGAAACCACAGAUCCAGCCAUCCCCCGCGUGUGCGAUGGCCUUCGGGUUGUAAAGCACUUUUGGCGGGAAAGAACGGCGGGAUAUGCCGUGCAGCUGACCAGUACCUGCAGAAUAAGCACCAACUACAACUUCACGUGCCUUGGCCACCCGGGCGGUAAUACGUAGGGUGCAAGCGUUAAUCGGAAUUACUGGGCGUAAAGCGUGCGCAGGCGGUUCCGGAAAGAAAGAUGUGAAAUCCCAGGCUUAACUUUGGAACACAUUUAACUACCGGGCUAGAGUGUCAGAGGUGGAAUUCCCGUGGCGGUGAAAUGCGUAGAUAUCGAACACCGAUGUGAGAAGCAGCCUCCUGGGAUAGCACUGACGCUCAUACUGUAGCGUGGGGAGGCAAGCAGGAUUGAAUGCCCUGUUGCUGGUCGCCCUCUUGAUGUCCGGCGCUGGCUGUUUGGGGCGCUGAGCCUUGGUAGCGCAACUAACGCGUGAGAUUGACUGCCUGGGAGGUACGGUCAUAAAUUAAAACUCAAAGGAAUUGGCAGAGGACCCGCUGACGGUGGAUGAUGUGGAUUAAUUCCGUUAUAGCGAAAAAAACCGCCCCUACUACAUGUAUGUCUGAGAUCCCGAAGAGAUUGGAGUGCUCGCAAGAGAGCCGGAACUACAGGUGCUGCGUGUGUCGUCAGCUCGUGUCGUGAGAUGUUGGAGUUAAGUCCCACAACGAGCACAGCCCUUGUCAUUAGAUUUGCUACCCGAAGGGCACUCUAUUGAGACUGCCGGUGACAAACCGGAGGAAGGUGAGGAUGACGUCAGUCCUCAUGUUAUAUGGGUAGGGCUUCACAUCGCCACAAUGGUCGGGACAGAGAUUAAGCCAACCCCGCGAAGACCAAUCCCAGAAGCGAUCUGGUCCGGAUCGCAGUCUGCAACUCGACUGCGUAGAAGUCGGAAUCCUUUAGUAAUCGCGGAUCAGCAUGUCGCGGUGAACUCGUUCCCAGGGUCUUGGCCACACACCGCCCACGUCACACCAUGGGAGUGGGUUUUGCAGAAGUAGUUGGCCCUAACCGUAAGGAGGGCGAUUACCACAGUGGAUUCAUGACUGGGGUGAAGUCAUGCUGGAUAG